rnacentral:rRNA from 1 species
AUUGAACGCUGGCGGCAUGCUUUACACAUGCAAGUCGAACGGGGUGAAGGGGCAACCCUUCAUUCAGUGGCGAACGGGUGAGUAAUGCAUCGGAACGUACCUCGUAGUGGGGGAUAACUCGGCGAAAGCCGUGCUAAUACCGCAUAUGCUCUACGGAGGAAAGCAGGGGACCUGAAAGGGCCUUGUGCUAUGGGAGCGGCCGAUGUCCGAUUAGCUAGUUGGUGGGGUAAGGCCUACCAAGGCGACGAUCGGUAGCUGGUCUAAGAGGAUGAUCAGCCACACUGGGACUGAGACACGGCCCAGACUCCUACGGGAGCAGCAGUGGGGAAUUUUGGACAAUGGGGGCAACCCUGAUCCAGCCAUGCCGCGUGCGGGAAGAA